rnacentral:snRNA from 1 species
AGCUUUGCACAUUGGCAGCGUCGUAGCCAAUGAGGUUUAUCCGAGGUACAGUUAUUGCUCAUAAAAGAAAAAAAGUUCAGAUGAUGGAAACAUAUGGUCAGGUGUGUGUUUAGUAAAUUAUGCUGAACUUCAAUGU